UACGUAGGGGGCAAGCGUUGUCCGGAAUCAUUGGGCGUAAAGAGCGUGUAGGCGGCCCGGUAAGUCGGCUGUGAAAGUCCAGGGCUCAACCCUGGGAUGCCGGUCGAUACUGCCGGACUAGAGUUCGGAAGAGGCGAGUGGAAUUCCCGGUGUAGCGGUGAAAUGCGCAGAUAUCAGGAGGAACACCGGUGGCGAAGGCGGAUCUCUGGGCCUUACCUGACGCUGAGGCGCGAAAGCUAGGGGAGCGAACAGG
rnacentral:rRNA from 1 species